UGAUUUUCCCUAAUGCACCACGCGAUGCCACAGUCAGGGCCUACGCUGGCUCUAAGUGUCCUACCAAACUACCCGCUAUGAGUGACGCCAACACUCAGAUCUGUGCCACUGGAAAUUCCGAUACCUGCAACGGUGACUCGGGCGGGCCUCUAUUUUGUCAAUACGGCAAAAAAUGGGUUCAGUGCGGAAUCACAUCUUACGGGCCUAAGGUGUGCAACUUGGAGGGAACCAAUGGUGUCUACACGAACCUGUCCAAAUACACCGCCUGGGUCAAAACCGUACUUGCGUCAUAAGUGAGGCCGCCCGUCUCUUGUAUUACUUGCCUUACGGAUUAUUCAAAUAAAUCAAAGCCACAAAAUGCUUUCCAUAAUCAUAA